GAAGGGAUUAUUCAAUACCUAAUUCAAGCAACAAUGAUUAAAGAAAACCUCGAGUAGUGGCAUAGGUGGAAGAGAGAUGAAGCAAAAUGGAAAGUACCUUAGAUGGGAAUGUUGUUUGUCGCUAAAGAAGCAGGGUUUUCAUCAUCAAAGCACAAAGGUUGUAUAAAUGUAAAAGUAUAAUAUCUUUUUGAUUGUAAAGCACUAUUAGCACAUUUAGGGCAACGUUCUCCAAAUAAGCAAAAACUCGUUUUGCGUGAAAGGCAAAUCAAGCAAGAAUCAGCAUCAUAUUUCACAAAUGGGGGUAUCCAAAACUGAGGAUAGAGGCAGGCCUAAUUACAAAACACCAUACACAAAUAAAAGGCCGUUUAUAAAAAUGCUUUAAAGCAAAGUACAUAUGUUAUUUGCUGACCUGUACCAAAUUUAUGAUACGGG
rnacentral:misc_RNA from 1 species